UUCUGCUACAUACGUAGCAGGGGCCAUGAACCAGCCAUGUAUGCUCUUCGGUUGGUGGCUUAAGUCUCUGCGAUCCCUUUAGGGGUCCUAGUUAUUUCGUUACUGCUGUUCUAAACAGAAGAACUGACUCAGAGAAAUGAUAUAACUCCUUCAAGGUCUUGGACUCAAAGUUUGGUCUGUUUGGUUCCAAGUCCAAGCUUACAUCAUGUAGCUUCUUGAGAAAAAAAAAUCUGAGUGAUUUGCACCUUAAACAGAGCAGAGCAGGCCAACGGAGUCCUUUUGAUGAAGUUCCUUUAAUAAAUUAGCAGCCAUCAUGCCGGACACAACAAAAGUAUUGCGUUCAAGCUUCUCGGCAGCUACUGGCUACAUUAAGAUGCUUCACCAAAGGAGUCUCUUGGGAACAACCCAUCUCAUAGCCGGACUCUGAUGGCAGACUAUGGUGCCUGCUUCCCAACUGUCACCCUCUCCUUUGUUUCCUUAGAAGCUGCCAUCAAAGCUUUGACGAUCCUCAUGGCCAGCUUGAAUGAAGGGAAAUGAACGCUUUUAAAAUAGAAUAAAUGUACCCAAAGACCGAUGGCAGUUGAUGUGUCAAUGCCCAGCACCCACUCUUGGGUAGGGUAAUUCUGGGGCGCGUGUUCUGAUUCCCAGAGUUCUCCGUUGGCUUAGGCAUUUAUUGCUCUCCCUGAGAAGACUGGCUUUCCUCAGGUGAAGAACACGUGUGGAUGGGCGAGUCUGAAAGCCAUUUUUAUCUCCUUGGAAGGCAUUUUCAUUCCGUCGUUCAACAAAGCUAUCUGCAUUGCUUUUGGGAAAUUAUUACUUCGUAAAUUUACAGAUGUUACAGCCCCAUCCCCCUCUGCUUCCAGAGAGCACGUCACAGCAGAAAAUACCACAUCUGGGUGAAAUGGAGUGCCAGCAACAGGCCUUAUGGGCUUGCCGGCAGCCUGAUCUUCCAAAGACAUUUUCUCAAUUGAGGUUCCUUCUUUCUCUUCCGACUUUAGUUUGUGCCAAGCUGACAUAAAGCUAGCCAGCGUGUGUUGGUUUGCAAGCCCUUCCUUGUUUACAUAAUUAAUCUAGAAAUUAUUCUGGAUGUGACUGAGUAUUUUGAUGAACAUAAGAGAAAAACUCUGUGAGUCAUGGGCACCUAGAAUUGUCCUUUUUUCCUGGGGGUUGGGCUUAGGGGAAGACUUGGAAGGUGAAAGGGACCAAACAAGCCAGAGCUCAGAGGCCACUGCUAGAGAAAGGACACAACUUCAGGACCAUCCUGGUCUCAUUAUGGAGCACAGCUCUGUUUCCAUCAGGUUCCCAGAGGCUAUCACAUCUCCAAGAGAUAAGGGCUUUAGCCCCACCUCUAAGGACCGGGGAGAAAGGUUCAUACUGGUUUACUGUUAGUUCCUUAUUCUUAGUAAUAAAUGUUGAAUGUAUAUUCAUCUUGUUGAGUCACAAAAGCAACUUUCCCCGUUAGGUCACGUCAUUCUGCAGGUUUUGUGGAUAAGGAGAUGGACCUGCACAGAUAAAGAAAUUUUGGAGGUCAUCAUGCUUAAAGUGACAUUCUUGAGAUCUCUCAGUGGGUAAGAACAUUUGCUACUCUGGCAAAAGACCCAGGUUCAAAUCCCAAUGCUCACCUGGGGAUUCAUAACCACCUCUAACUCCAGUUUCAGGGAGAUCAAUGUCCCUUCUGGUUUCUGUGGGUACUGCAUGGACAUGGUAUGGUUACAUACAGGCAGAUAAAACAUUCAUAUGCAUAAACACACAAACACAA
rnacentral:sRNA from 1 species